CUUAGAUGCUUCAGAAAGGGCUUUGAAAAAUUAGAAAAAUUGCGCUAUUCUUUGUGGAGCUAUCUUCAUCUUUCCACCGCUUUCCUUUAUCUUCGUCUGUGAAUUUCUUGUUCAUCUCUCUCGCGCGCUCUCUCUGACAUAUAUAAAGGGUUUUCUGAUGGCAUAGUGGUGGAUAACCUGAAUGGACUCCAAUGCUUUUCACAUUAGAGAGCCCCUUGGAAGAAGAAAAUCCGGUUAUGUAUAAAAUACAAUGAUAAAUAGUAUAUAAUAGAUGAUUAAACUUAUAAUUAGUUUAGCUACUCAUCUAAUCAUGCUUUGGUAAUUCAAGAUAUUAUUCAUCUGUUCUUGUUUAAUGGAGAUGCCACGCCAUUCUUAUUGCAGGUACAUUUUAGAAAGAAAACUAUUUAUCCUUUUCUUCUUUGAAGUUUAGAUUUAUUGGUGAGUUUGAAGUUUGUGUGGAGGUAGUUCAGUAUUUACAGGAGACGGUACAGAAGUAUAAGGCAUUCUAUCAACCUUGGGGAGCUUGGAGCCUAUAAAAUUUGUGUCAUGGCUUGGCGGAAAUAAUCAAGCAUUUCAGUGCAAUUCUUCAAGGGGAGUUCACGAUAGGAAGCGACACAUUUAGCAUUCAGAGUACUUACUCUUAAGGGUGAGUAAAUUACAUUAAUUUUAGAGUUUGCAGAAUUAAAUAAAGUGGGUGGCCUCUAUAUAUCUGGCAAGUUUAUUAGUUGUAUACUUAAGGCAUUUGCUUGCUUUUCUUUUGUUAGUCAUUGCAUAUGUUGCUUUGAUGUUUUAAAGGCUAUAGUUCUAAGGUAGUGUUCUGUCAUAGAAUGAGGUUGCAUGAAGAAAUGUGGUAAUAUCUUGAGUCCCUUAUGUAUGCCUUUUUUGUUAUGUUAAAGCUUCUGUAUUUCUCAUUUUAUCAGUAAUUUGGUAUUUUUAACAAUUGUCAUGACUGCUUUAUAUAAUGUUAAACCAGCAGGUUGAGUAUCAUACUGUGAAAUCAAAGCUUUCUUUGUUUAUUUCUUGGGGCCUGGGAGAAUUGUGAAUCAAUUCUUAACUCAUGGGUCUGGCUCACUUUUCUUAAUAAACAGGCAGCUUUAUAUUAAUAUUAGAGUACCAAAAUAUCACUACAUACUGGAGAGUAAAAUACAACAGCUUGAGAAAAUAUUAGAAAGAAAAAUAGUUCGAAAAUAAGAAAUGAAUUAGACAAAUCUGCUGCAGAAUUUAUUCAUCUAUAAAGGAUCCUCUGUCAAAAAAUAAAAGGGAAAAGUGAAAUGGUUAACAGCUGAAAACUCUAACACACUUUCCUUUUUAUCAUGUUUUGGUAGGUAUUGCAAAUCAUGUUUAGCAUACCUUUUUUUAGGUAAAAAGUUCUGAUACUUUACCGUGAAAAUUGUCUCAUUGUGGGAUGCAAAAUCUCAUUUUCCAAUGACUUCAGAGCAGAAGUAUCGUUAUUCCUUUAGAUUCACUUUUCUAUUUUUUUAUAAUUUUCUCUAUGUACUUUUGCCACAUGAAGCUUGCAACCAUAUCUAUAGCCUUAUAAUGCCACCACAUUGAUAGAAGCUGCAUCAAAUGUGUUUUUCCGCAAGUUCAUCUAGACUUGCAGAAAUGAAAACAAGAUCCAUAGGUCCUUACUAUUUUUUUUUCUUUCUAAACUUUAUGGUAGUAGGAUUGUCCAUAUUGUAUACAAGUUAAUCCAAAUAAAUUUACCUAGGGGCUUACAGUGUCCUUGAUAGUCCAUAUUAGAUGAUUUAGUUGAAAUACCAUCCAGAACAUUUGAAAGCUUUUCUGCCUUUUUUGAAGAUCUGGAAUUACCCGAUUAAGAUCCUUUUAAGAAAACAAAAGAAGGAAAUGUAAAAUUAAGAUGGCGACCUUAGGAAAAACUGAGAAAGUAAGGAGACUAUACUUGAGAUUCUAUAUAUAGAUCAAUAGAAAUUAAAUGAAAAGAAGUAGUAGCAAUACAUAUUCUCCAAGCUUAGAUGUAAAUUGCUUACGAUCUUCAACAAUUCUCUAGGGGAAGUGAGUUUGAACUUAUUUUAGUGAGAAUAACAACACAAUUUGAGCCUUAAGAAGGUCAAUAAAAUUCCGAUAAAUCCCUUCAAAUUCUGCUUAUGAAGUUGAGAACAUUGAAAGACUAGUGAUUGUGAAGCUAAGAACCUCAACUAUAUGGCGACUGUUUAUCUUUGUUGUAGUUUGAGUUUGUUAUAUGGUUAAGCACUUUAGUGUAGCUCCUCUGUUAAUUAUGAGAAAGUGUGCUGUUUUUUUCACCACGAGAAAGUAUUAUUGUAAAGGAAAAAUGCUGGCAAAACUAAAGGAUUUAUAAUGCUCUUUAGGUACGUUUAUAACAUAGAAUAUAACUGUUUCUAUUCUGCUGCCCACAUAGAGUUGAGCUUACAUAUUAUAUCGAGCGUUGCCAUUCUAAAUCAAACAUGUAUGCGAUGAUAUAUGAAUUUUAUACUUUUGCUCGAUAAAUAUCUCAGUUGAAGACUAUUAUAUUUCAUCUCCUCGACAUAAUUAUUUUGUAA